GAGUAGAGGACAUAGGAGAUAAGUUUUUAAACGAUUAUUAUAAAACAUCGCAACUUUCCAAAGAUAAUUCACUCAUGAUACAAAGCUCAAUGUCUGCAGGCUAAGUAUCAUUUUUGCGAGUCUAUUUCUUUUAGAGAAGUCUGAUUUGAUGUUAGUUUGGAGCAUUUGAGAUCUGUAAAUACAUAGAAUCAGCUGGGACUUGAAUUCAGAAGGAGAAAGGAUAUUUGGUGUUGGUUGAGGACUUUUUGAAAAAUCUAAAUGUUAAAGGAAUGGACAAUUUUCACUUGGAUCUUCCAAUUCGUCUUGAAAGUCCUCACGUCAGCAAUGGUGGUGAUACCGUGAUUUAGAGCCAUGAUUACGAAAUAGUAAAAAGAGAUGAAUGCUUUUAUGAAAGGUUAGUGUGUUUCUGAACUUUUACAUUAGGCGUCUAUUUAUAUGAGUUGAGGGAGGUAAGCAGAUUUUAGGUUUAGAGAAUUAAAUCAACAACCGUAUAAGGUAGAUGCUCGAAUUUAAGGGUAUAUUCUCGAUUUAAACAUAUCUCAAUAUCUAGUUUUUGAUAGAGUUUGGUAAUUGAAUUGUUUGUUAAGGUAAAUAAUUUGUUUAGAUAUAAAUUGGGAAAUCGUGAUUAUGAUCAAUUGAGCUAAAAAGAUUAUCGAGGAUUUGUUUGUUAUGGAAAUCUGUUUAAAUUUGUGUAGUUAUGGAUAUUGAAUGAAUAUGUUUGUUAUUGAAAUCUUUUUAAAUGGUAACUAACCAUUUUGUUUAUGUCUCAUUAAUAUCCGAGUAUCUCAAACAAUAUUGGGAUUAAUUGUGAGGCUGUGAUUGUCGGCGAAGCCCAUUAGACAACUACGAAGCCCAGCUCAAAUGUCAUCCAACCCAGUAAUAUUGAGAGAGAAUGUUAAUCGGAUCAUCCAACUCAGCAAAUAUAGAUCCGCGUGUUGUUUCGUUUGUAAUAUUAGAAGAUCCAAUUGAAGAUCCAAGAUCCGCGUGUUUCUUAAAUGAGAAAUUUUUUUUUUACCCUUUCACGUGAGAUUUUUUUGUUUCUUUGUAUCCAAAUUUUGCAAUGACAUUUUUUGUAAAUAUUCUACCAAAAUGAGGUUACUUAUGUUUGAA